rnacentral:rRNA from 1 species
UACGUAGGGUGCAAGCGUUUGUCCGGAAUUAUUGGGCGUAAAGAGCUUGUAGGCGGUUUGUCGCGUCUGCCGUGAAAAUUCGAGGCUCAACCUCGAACUUGCGGUGGGUACGGGCAGACUAGAGUGUGGUAGGGGAGACUGGAAUUCCUGGUGUAGCGGUGAAAUGCGCAGAUAUCAGGAGGAACACCGAUGGCGAAGGCAGGUCUCUGGGCCACUACUGACGCUGAGAAGCGAAAGCAUGGGGAGCGAACAGG